AAAAGAAAAACCACUACCUAGCUAAUAAAUAGGUACUCGCUAAAAGAAUAACAUGAAGUGUUGUUCUUUUAUAAACUCUUUUUCCUUUCUUUCUCUCCAUGCCGCUCGCUGUUCUAAAAACAGGGUGG
rnacentral:ribozyme from 1 species